rnacentral:misc_RNA from 1 species
GAAAUGCGAUAAGUAAUGUGAAUUGCAGAAUUCAGUGAAUCAUCGAAUCUUUGAACGCACCUUGCGCUCCUUGGUAUUCCUUGGAGAAUGCCUGUUUGAGUAUCAUGAAAUCUUCAAAGUAAAUCUUUUGUUAACUCAAUUGGUUUCUACUUUGGUAUUGGAGGUCUUUGCAGCUUCACACCUGCUCCUCUUUGUUCAUUAGCUGGAUCUCAGUGUUAUGCUUGGUUCCACUCGGCGUGAUAAGUUAUCUAUCGCUGAGGACACUGUAAAAGGUGGCCAAGGUAAAUUCAGAUGAACCGCUUCUAAUAGUCCAUUGACUUGGACAAUACUUUUAUGAUCUGAUCUCAAAUCAGGUAGGACUACCCGCUGAACUUAAGC